rnacentral:rRNA from 1 species
CCUACGGGAGGCAGCAGUGGGGGAUAUUGCACAAUGGGGGGAACCCUGAUGCAGCGACGCCGCGUGGGUGAAGGAGUGCUUCGGCAUGUAAAGCCCUAUCGGCAGGGAAGAAGCAAGACGGUACCUGACUAAGAAGCCCCGGCUAACUACGUGCCAGCAGCCGCGGUAAUACGUAGGGGGCGAGCGUUAUCCGGCUUCACUGGGUGUAAAGGGAGCGUAGACGGCCAUGCAAGCCAGGGGUGAAAGCCCGGGGCCCAACCCCGGGACUGCCCUUGGAACUGCAUGGCUGGAGUGCGGGAGGGGCAGGCGGAAUGCCUGGUGUAGCGGUGAAAGGCGUAGAUAUCAGGAGGAACACCGGCGGCGAAGGCGACCUGCUGGACCGCGACUGACGUUGAGGCUCGAAAGCGUGGGGAGCGAACAGGAUUAGAUACCCCGGUAGUC